rnacentral:rRNA from 1 species
UACGAAGGGGGCUAGCGUUGUUCGGAUUUACUGGGCGUAAAGCGCACGUAGGCGGAUCGUUAAGUCAGGGGUGAAAUCCUGGAGCUCAACUCCAGAACUGCCUUUGAUACUGGCGAUCUUGAGUCCGGAAGAGGUGAGUGGAACUCCUAGUGUAGAGGUGGAAUUCGUAGAUAUUAGGAAGAACACCAGUGGCGAAGGCGGCUCACUGGUCCGGUACUGACGCUGAGGCAUGAAAGCGUGGGGAGCAAACAGG